rnacentral:rRNA from 1 species
AGAGUUUGAUCCUGGCUCAGGAUGAACGCUGACAGAAUGCUUAACACAUGCAAGUCUACUUGAUCCUUCGGGUGAUGGUGGCGGACGGGUGAGUAACGCGUAAAGAACUUGCCCUGCAGUCUGGGACAACAUUUGGAAACGAAUGCUAAUACCGGAUAUUAUGUGAGUUUCGCAUGAAAUUCAUAUGAAAGCUAUAUGCGCUGCAGGAGAGCUUUGCGUCCUAUUAGCUAGUUGGUGAGGUAACGGCUCACCAAGGCGAUGAUAGGUAGCCGGCCUGAGAGGGUGAACGGCCACAAGGGGACUGAGACACGGCCCUUACUCCUACGGGAGGCAGCAGUGGGGAAUAUUGGACAAUGGACCAAAAGUCUGAUCCAGCAAUUCUGUGUGCACGAUGAAGUUUUUCGGAAUGUAAAGUGCUUUCAGUUGGGACGAAGUAAGUGACGGUACCAACAGAAGAAGCGACGGCUAAAUACGUGCCAGCAGCCGCGGUAAUACGUAUGUCGCAAGCGUUAUCCGGAUUUAUUGGGCGUAAAGCGCGUCUAGGCGGUUUGGUAAGUCUGAUGUGAAAAUGCGGGGCUUAACUCCGUAUUGCGUUGGAAACUGCCAAACUAGAGUACUGGAGAGGUGGGCGGAACUACAAGUGUAGAGGUGAAAUUCGUAGAUAUUUGUAGGAAUGCCGAUGGGGAAGCCAGCCCACUGGACAGAUACUGACGCUAAAGCGCGAAAGCGUGGGUAGCAAACAGGAUUAGAUACCCUGGUAGUCCACGCCGUAAACGAUGAUUACUAGGUGUUGGGGGUCGAACCUCAGCGCCCAAGCUAACGCGAUAAGUAAUCCGCCUGGGGAGUACGUACGCAAGUAUGAAACUCAAAGGAAUUGACGGGGACCCGCACAAGCGGUGGAGCAUGUGGUUUA